GGUAACCGUUAUUAUUGGGUCUAAAGGGUCUGUAGCCGGCCGGAUAAGUCUCUUGAGAAAUCUGGCAGCUUAACUGUCAGGCUUUCAGGAGAUACUGUCUGGCUCGAGGCCGGGAGAGGUGAGAGGUACUUCAGGGGUAGGGGUGAAAUCUUGUAAUCCUUGAAGGACCACCAGUGGCGAAGGCGUCUCACCAGAACGGACCUGACGGCAAGGGACGAAAGCUAGGGGCACGAACCGGAUUAGAUACCCGGGUAGUCCUGGCCGUAAACGAUACUCGCUAGGUGUCGGCCACGGUGCGACCGUUGUCGGUGCCGUAGGGAAGCCGUGAAGCGAGCCACCUGGGAAGUACGGCCGCAAGGCUGAAACUUAAAGGAAUUGGCGGGGGAGCACCACAACGGGUGGAGCUUGCGGUUUAAUUGGAUUCAACGCCGGAAAUCUUACCGGGACCGACAGCAAUAUGAAGGCCAGGCUGAAGACUUUGCCGGAUUAGCUGGGAGGUGGUGCAUGGCCGUCGUCAGUUCGUACUGUGAAGCAUCCUGUUAAGUCAGGUAACGAGCGAGACCCNNNNNNNNAUNNCNNNNNNNNNNNNNNNUNUCCGGUUGAUCCUGCCAGAGGUUACUGCUAUCGAGGUUCGACUAAGCCAUGCGAGUCGAAUGUAGCAAUACAUGGCGUACUGCUCAGUAACACGUGGACAACCUGCCCUUAGGUCGGGUAUAAACCCGGGAAACUGGGUAUAAUACCCGAUAGGUCUCGAUUGCUGGAAUGCAUCGAGAUUAAAAGCUCCGGCGCCUAAGGAUGGGUCUGCGGCCUAUCAGGUAGUAGUGGGUGUAGCGUACCUACUAGCCUACGACGGGUACGGGUUGUGAGAGCAAGAGCCCGGAGAUGGAUUCUGAGACACGAAUCCAGGCCCUACGGGGUGCAGCAGGCGCGAAAACUUUACAAUGCUGGCAACAGCGAUAAGGGAACCUCGAGUGCCAGGUUACAAAUCUGGCUGUCGAGAUGCCUAAAAAGCAUUUCAUAGCAAGGGCCGGGCAAGACCGGUGCCAGCCG
rnacentral:rRNA from 1 species